rnacentral:rRNA from 1 species
UACGAAGGGGGCUAGCGUUGUUCGGAAUUACUGGGCGUAAAGGGCGCGUAGGCGGCUUCGCUAGCCGGGCGUGAAAUGCCUGGGCUUAACCCGGGAAUUGCGUUCGAUACUUCGAGGCUAGAGUGUGGGAGAGGUUGGUGGAAUUCCCAGUGUAGAGGUGAAAUUCGUAGAUAUUGGGAAGAACACCGGUGGCGAAGGCGGCCAACUGGACCACAACUGACGCUGAGGCGCGAAAGCGUGGGGAGCAAACAGG